rnacentral:rRNA from 1 species
CCUACGGGAGGCAGCAGUGGGGCAUAUUGGGCAAUGGGCGCAAGCCUGACCCAGCAACGCCGCGUGAAGGAAGAAGGCCCUCGGGUUGUAAACUUCUUUUGUCAGGGACGAAGACAGUGACGGUACCUGACGAAUAAGCCACGGCUAAAUACGUGCCAGCAGCCGCGGUAAUACGUAGGGGGCAAGCGUUAUCCGGAUUUACUGGGUGUAAAGGGUGUGUAGGCGGGAUUGCAAGUCAGCUGUUAAAUUCCAGGGCUCAACCCUAGCCCUGCAUUUGAAACUGGAGUUCUGGAGUGAUGGAGAGGCAGGCGGAAUGCCGUGUGUAGCGGUGAAAUGCGUAGAUAUACGGAGGAACACCAGUGGCGAAGGCGGCCUGCUGGACAUUAACUGACGCUGAGGCGCGAAAGCGUGGGGAGCAAACAGGAUUAGAUACCCGGGUAGUC